rnacentral:rRNA from 1 species
CAGCAGCCGCGGGAAUACAGAGGGUGCGAGCGUUAAUCGGAUUUACUGGGCGUAAAGCGUGCGUAGGCGGCUUCUUAAGUCGGAUGUGAAAUCCCUGAGCUUAACUUAGGAAUUGCAUUCGAUACUGGGAAGCUAGAGUAUGGGAGAGGAUGGUAGAAUUCCAGGUGUAGCGGUGAAAUGCGUAGAGAUCUGGAGGAAUACCGAUGGCGAAGGCAGCCAUCUGGCCUAAUACUGACGCUGAAGUACGAAAGCAUGGGGAGCAAACAGGAUUAGAUACCCCAGUAGUCCCUGUCUCUUAUAC